UACGAAGGGGGCUAGCGUUGUUCGGAUUUACUGGGCGUAAAGCGCACGUAGGCGGAUUGUUAAGUCAGGGGUGAAAUCCUGGAGCUCAACUCCAGAACUGCCUUUGAUACUGGCAAUCUUGAGUCCGGAAGAGGUGAGUGGAACUCCUAGUGUAGAGGUGGAAUUCGUAGAUAUUAGGAAGAACACCAGUGGCGAAGGCGGACUCACUGGUCCGGUACUGACGCUGAGGUGCGAAAGCGUGGGGAGCAAACAG
rnacentral:rRNA from 1 species